CUUUAAUGUGUAGCAGUGGUGAUGGCGAGGUUAAAAUGUCACUUAUGACUUCAUUUUCCACAUGACAACAACUUCUCAUAGUGUAUACACAAAACUAAACAGCCUAUACAAAUUACAUAGCCACACAACCCAAACAUGACAGCCAACAUGACUAAUAAUUCUGAAUAACUGGGUGAGUUCAAAGGUCAAAAUCAGAGUUUAUUAUACAACCUUUGAUCUAUUGUGUGUCAGGACAGGUGUGUGUAUCACCCAGACUAUGAUCUCAGCUGAGAAACACACACGAAGAACACUUCACAGAGACAUCAUGUUCAGGUAAGAACCUCUUCCAGUACUUUCAGGGGAAAACCACUGUCAUAUAGUACACGUUACAUCAGAACACAGUGAAUCAGUUGUCAGUUAAUCAGGUUAAUAAUCAUCAUCAAUAGUCAGUUGAUCAUCAUGUCUCUCUUCCUCUCAGAAUUUCUGUGUUGAUCUGCAUCUCUCUACUGGUUUAUGGCAACUCAGCCAAGCCAUACAAGUCCUGGGAUAAAGUGGCUGAGUAUGCAGUCCAGGAGACUCUGAUGUCUGAAAAGGAGAGGGUGAUGUUUGAUCUGGGGCUGAAGCAGGUGGAGGCUCCUGAAGACAUGGACAUCACUAACAAUGACAUCCACCCUGUCAUGGCCAUCUGGAAGAACAUGAGAGGGGGAGGUGGGAAUAGACAGAAGGUAGAAAAAGAGGUAGUCCAAGGCAGAUACUCCACAACCGAGGAGGACAUGGACCAUCUAUACCACCCAUCCAUGGAGCAGACCCACGAGGCUGACCUGGCCAGAGCCCGAUCUCAGCCAGAGGACACCUUCGUUGGGAUGGCCAUCCAGACAGAGCCCCUAGAGGAGGAUAACACCAAGUACUACCAGGAGGCUGGGAUAGAUCUAGAUAACAUCUCUCAUCUCUUCUCAGGCCAGGUGGAUCCACGACACCCUGAAGAGGACUGGGACGAACUCUACCAUCCAGAGAUGAAAAGGGGAGACGGGCAGUACCAAGUGGACGUGCCUCACCAGGGGAAGCUAGCUGCUGUAGGGGCAGAGGUCAAGGGUCAUAGUGAGCCAGAGGAAGACAGGGAUGACCUCUACCAUGGUGACCUGCCUGUACCUGUUCAGGUGAAUGGGAGUGGCCAGGACAGGCAGCAGUCUGCCGAUCGGCCCUCUCAGAGGAUGUACAGAGAACCAGAAGAGGACCUGGAUGACCUCUAUCAUCAUUAA
rnacentral:lncRNA from 1 species